UGGGGAAUUUUGGACAAUGGGCGAAAGCCUGAUCCAGCAAUGCCGCGUGUGUGAAGAAGGCCUUCGGGUUGUAAAGCACUUUUGUCCGGAAAGAAAUCCUCUGGGUUAAUACCUCGGGGGAUGACGGUACCGGAAGAAUAAGCACCGGCUAACUACGUGCCAGCAGCCGCGGUAAUACGUAGGGUGCAAGCGUUAAUCGGAAUUACUGGGCGUAAAGCGUGCGCAGGCGGUUUUGUAAGACGGAUGUGAAAUCCCCGGGCUUAACCUGGGAACUGCAUUCGUGACUGCAAGGCUAGAGUAUGGCAGAGGGGGGUAGAAUUCCACGUGUAGCAGUGAAAUGCGUAGAGAUGUGGAGGAAUACCGAUGGCGAAGGCAGCCCCCUGGGCCAAUACUGACGCUCAUGCACGAAAGCGUGGGGAGCAAACAGGAUUAGAUACCCUGGUAGUCCACGCCCUAAACGAUGUCAACUAGUUGUUGGGGAUUCAUUUCCUUAGUAACGUAGCUAACGCGUGAAGUUGACCGCCUGGGGAGUACGGUCGCAAGAUUAAAACUCAAAUGAAUUGACGGGGUCAUAGCUGUUUCCU
rnacentral:rRNA from 1 species